UACGUAGGGUGCAGACGUAUUGAAUGAAUCUGGGCGUAAAGCGUGCGCAGGCGGUUAUGUAAGACAGUUGUGAAAUCCCCGGGCUCAACCUGGGAAUUGCAUCUGUGACUGCAUAGCUAGAGUACGGUAGAGGGGGAUGGAAUUCCGCGUGUAGCAGUGAAAAUGCGUAGAUAUGCGGAGGAACACCGAUGGCGAAGGCAAUCCCCUGGACCUGUACUGACGCUCAUGCACGAAAAGCGUGGGGGAGCAAACAGG
rnacentral:rRNA from 1 species